rnacentral:rRNA from 1 species
UGAGUUUGAUCAUGGCUCAGGAUGAACGCUGGCGGUCUGCUUAACACAUGCAAGUCGAACGAAGUCUUCGGACUUAGUGGCGGACGGGUGAGUAACGCGUGAGAAUCUGCCUCCAGGUCGGGGACAACAGUUGGAAACGGCUGCUAAUCCCGGAUAAGCCGAAAGGUAAAAGAUUUAUUGCCUGGAGGGGAGCUCGCGUCCGAUUAGCUAGAUGGUGAGGUAAGAGCUCACCAUGGCGACGAUCGGUAGCUGUUCUGAGAGGAAGAUCAGCCACACUGGGACUGAGAA